CCUGGAGACACAUUUAUUCAGCAAGCAUUGGCAUUGCCGGACCUUUUCUCUGCACCUGAUGCCAAGCUAGAAGCCAGGGGAAGAGAAGGACCUUUCUUGACUUCAUGCCCAUGUCUGGAUGAGAGCCAAACAUGCCACAGACUGUCAGAUUGUUCUCCAGCAUGCAUAUCUGGACUUUUAUUUUGGUCAAGGAAAGCUUGGACCUACUUCUUUCUUUUUGAACAUGAAGGGCUUGGUUUCCAACUUCCUUUGCUGGAAGGCAUAUUAUGAAAUGGGAUGGGACCCAUCAGAGACACAGACAGGACUGUCAGAGGCUAAUAACUAACCAUUCUCUUCACCUGUGACAAGUCCAUUUUCUGAGUGGAUCCAUGCUUAGUUGAAGAUGGUGGUUGCAGAAGAAACAUCUACGCUUAAUUUGGAGACUCUAAAAUCUGAUAUUAUGUAAAGAACUCUGGGACCUAGUAGAGCAAAGCUGCCAUGUAAGUGUGACAAAAAUCUACUCUCUGGGGAGUCUGAUUAUUAUUUUCUGGAUUUUCACUCACCACAGUCAUAUGAGCCAUGUGUUAUUGUCUGUUUUAAAGAUUUGGGAAAUUGAGGCCACACAACCAGUAGUGGGUGGGAACACCUUAUGCACUCUUCUGAGAAACAUUUUCCUACUCUUCCAUGCACCCCAACAUUCCCUCCAGGGGCAGAAAGAAAGUCAGCAGUGCCCAAGAGAAUCCAUGGAACACACACAUUCCCGAUGAUGAUCUUUUCCUCAUUACCUCUGUUUCUGAAAGACUUUUCUGUAAUUAAGGAACUGAAUUAAUUAUUGACAAGGCAGCAGGCCAGCACAGACCAAAUAUGUCACUCAGGUUGAAUAUAUUCUCUCUACAGUGAGGGUUGGGAACUCUGUGGAGCAUUGUUUUCAUCUUCUUUUAAGAAAUGACUGGAACAAUGGGUCAACCCUUAGCAUUCUGGUCUUUGGACAUAAGACCAUUGCCCUCGUUAAGGCCUUUUACUCAAGAUAUCAGCUCUAUUUUACCUUUAAGAUGCACUGCACAGAAGGGUUUAUCAUCUCAGUAUGGAAAAUAAGAAUCUUAAAAAUAAAAUGGUUUUUUCAUUGAUAAUUGGGAUAUGUCUUAACUCAGAGGACAGCACUUUAUUUAAAUAAUUGAGGAGGAUUUAAUAAACUUACAAUCAUUAAAGAAAUGAUUGACUCCAAGAUUUCAACCUUUUUCAGAAGAGUAUCCAAAUUCUUUACCGUGGCUAAUAAGGCCUUUCAUGAUUUGUGUCACUUGGCUCUCCAGUUCCCCAAAAGGUAAUGAUCGCUACCAUCCCCAAUCCCAAGACCUUCACUUUUUCCACAACUGGAAUACCAUUUCCGUUCUUCUUAGGGAUGCUUCUGCUUUGAUCUGGUUUCAACUGAAAUAUCUCUGUCUCAGAGAGUUACUUCCUUUGCACCUUUUACACAUCCCUAUAAAUGUUCAUCUUUACAAAAGACCUUGAUUUCCAUCUGAAUAUCUGCACACUGACUUCUUGCUAUUGUCUGUGUCUAUCAACAAAAUGAAAGCUCUUCGAGAGUAGGUUAUGGUUUGUGGUCUGCAGAAGUUUUCUUAACACCUCGAGCAACAUCAGGAAUGUUGUAGUUGCUGAACAAAUAUUGGUGAU